rnacentral:rRNA from 1 species
GAUGGACGGUGGCGGCGUGCCUAAUACAUGCAAGUCGAGCGAACAGACGAGGAGCUUGCUCCUCUGACGUUAGCGGCGGACGGGUGAGUAACACGUGGAUAACCUACCUAUAAGACUGGGAUAACUUCGGGAAACCGGAGCUAAUACCGGAUAAUAUAUUGAACCGCAUGGUUCAAUAGUGAAAGACGGUUUUGCUGUCACUUAUAGAUGGAUCCGCGCCGCAUUAGCUAGUUGGUAAGGUAACGGCUUACCAAGGCAACGAUGCGUAGCCGACCUGAGAGGGUGAUCGGCCACACUGGAACUGAGACACGGUCCAGACUCCUACGGGAGGCAGCAGUAGGGAAUCUUCCGCAAAGGGCGAAAGCCUGACGGAGCAACGCCGCGUGAGUGAUGAAGGUCUUCGGAUCGUAAAACUCUGUUAUUAGGGAAGAACAAAUGUGUAAGUAACUAUGCACGUCUUGACGGUACCUAAUCAGAAAGCCACGGCUAACUACGUG